rnacentral:rRNA from 1 species
CAAGUCGAACGGUAGAGGGCACCCUUGAGAGUGGCGAACGGGUGAGUAAUAUAUCGGAACGUGCCCAGUCGUGGGGGAUAACGUAGCGAAAGUUACGCUAAUACCGCAUACGAUCUACGGAUGAAAGCGGGGAUCGCAAGACCUCGCGCGAUUGGAGCGGCCGAUAUCAGAUUAGGUAGUUGGUGAGGUAAAGGCUCACCAAGCCGACGAUCUGUAGCUGGUCUGAGAGGACGACCAGCCACACUGGGACUGAGACACGGCCCAGACUCCUACGGGAGGCAGCAGUGGGGAAUUUUGGACAAUGGGCGCAAGCCUGAUCCAGCAAUGCCGCGUGCAGGAUGAAGGCCUUCGGGUUGUAAACUGCUUUUGUACGGAACGAAACGGUGAGCUCUAAUACAGUUUGCUAAUGACGGUACCGUAAGAAUAAGCACCGGCUAACUACGUG